rnacentral:rRNA from 1 species
UACGUAGGGGGCAAGCGUUGUCCGGAAUUAUUGGGCGUAAAGCGCGCGCAGGCGGUCCUUUAAGUCUGAUGUGAAAGCCCACGGCUCAACCGUGGAGGGUCAUUGGAAACUGGAAGGCUUGAGUGUGGCAGAGGGGGGUGGAAUUCCACGUGUAGCAGUGAAAUGCGUAGAGAUGUGGAGGAACACCGAUGGCGAAGGCAGCCCCCUGGGCUAACACUGACGCUCAUGCACGAAAGCGUGGGGAGCAAACAGG